AAAUAAGAAGCAUUAAUAUGUAUCUAGUUUCGGCCUAGAAGAUGGUAUAUACCCUUAUUU
rnacentral:tRNA from 1 species